UAUGCCACAAUCUCAUCGUCAAUGUUGUUGUUGCAAUUUGAUAAUUUGUAUAGUUAAUCUUAAUAAAUGAAAAUCAGAAGACAGAUAACUUCAAUAAAGCUGAGAAAAUCGUCUAGAAAUUGAACAUAGUAACUUAUAUUUAGAGUCUUAAUUUGACAAAAGUUUUGUGAUCCAAAUUAAAAAAGUAAAACCACAGAAUGCCUUGCCCAGUUUGUCA
rnacentral:lncRNA from 1 species